GGAAACUCCCAGCAAGACAGCUCAGAGUGACGGGGAGCAGAGAGGAAGAGCGGAGUGACUCAUCAAAGCCCCACCCAGGCUGCAUGCCUGGCUGCUCCAACAUCAGCCCGAGGCUUCCACCCAGCUCUGUCUGCCUGAACGUCACUUCCCAGGACGCCUGACGUAUUCCUUGCGUGGUGACUUUGACAUGAACACUACAAAAAGAGGGGUUUAAAAAUAGCCACCUUGUCACGAAGAAUAGGGAGGAGAGAUACCCCCUCCCCACGCAAAGGAAUGAGAUGGAGAGUCACCCAAGACUUCUUGGAGCUGUGCCCAUCAACGCCAC
rnacentral:lncRNA from 1 species